rnacentral:misc_RNA from 1 species
UGUCAUUAGGCCCUUUUUAUCUUUGGGAAGAAGAUGGAGAAGAGGAAGAAGACACGACUUUUGAGUAUAGCAGAAUAAAGAAUCACAAUAUAAAUGAGUAUUUGACUUACAACAGGACAAUUGGCUUCCCUCAUCCACUCCAAAUUACGGGGAUCAAUGAUCAAAUCAUCUACACAUCAAAGUCCAAAUGCAAGAUCAAAUCAUACCAGAUAAGAAAAGGAUAGUAGAGAUUCACCAAAGGUUUCAAUCCUGGUAUGUUUACCAUUGGUUCAGCCUCGAUGCAAAUAAUUCAUGAAAAGUUAAUUUACCAUACACUCAGACAUAUAAUUCAAUUAUAUAAAUCUCAUUCUCAAUGUACCAAAAGCUAGAGUAGAUUUUGAUUUGGGCAUAUGAUGUUAACAUGCAUCAAAGAAUUCUUAACCCUUCACAUGAUCUUUUAAUGGAGAUUACUAUAAAAUCAAGUACAAUUAAUUAAAAGAAAAUAAUUCUUUUGGGAAGUAUGACAGUAAUCAGCAGCAAGACAUUGGUCUGGAAAACCAAUCAGUUAACUAAGGAUUUCAAUUAUGAAAUGAAGUUCAGAACUUGCGUGGAAACUAUAAUAUCACUAAUACUCGAAUAAUCCUAAUGCUGAUGGUGAUAAAUUUCUGAAAAGACCAUAAGUAUUGGAUCUAUAUUCACUUUAAGAUUGAGUGGUUAAAGACGAGUAAAGUAUCAGGUCAUGGAGGAAUGCAAAAGAAGCCAUUACAAUUUACAUACUCCAUGAACUCUGAUGACAUGGAGUUCAGCGAUGCCAAGGCAAGGCAGCAAACUAUAGUUACCAAACAAAACAAUAUUUGAGGGAAUUUAAAUGUGGUCAUUGCACAAACUACUCAAAAUAUCACUGGAGAAGAAAAUGUGAACAAGCCUUCUGGACUUCAAGGCUUUGUAACAUUAACAGGUGAUCUCAACAGCUCAGGUUAAGAUAAAAAGCCUAAGCAUUAACAUUUAAUCUACCAAAUUAUUCAUAUGGUCAUAAAUGGAAGGAUUAGAACUGGACAUUCAAAAUGGCCCUUAUGUCAUGUGAUUUAUUUUUUCACCAAGCAUACUCCCGUAUGGCACUAGCAAUUCCCUUAAAUUGUAAAUAAUGCUAGUGAGCUUUCCCCUAUUACACCCGAGUAUGCAAGCAUACCAACAAAGUGUGCAAAAGUAUAAGAUAGCUAAAGGAAGAAGAGUGCACAAGAGAAUGACAAGUACAGGUCCUAUUGUGGAGCAAGCAACCAACAGAGGCUCAAACCCACAAAGUGAUGGGAAUUGAUGUAGGGAAAAGUCCACAGAGAUAAUGUCAGCUUUGGAUGGAAGGCUGGCAAAUUAGAAGCCACCAUGUCUGACUAGAGGGACAAAGUCAAAGACAUGGACCAAUGCUUGAAGGAGCUUGAGUCCAAGGGCUGGAUGAGAAUCUAAGGGACAAAUGCAGUGUGCACUGCAGUCAGCAUGCUAUCCAAGAGGGAAGUACCAUGAAGCUUUUUUUUGUUAGUUGUUGAAAAGCUCAAGAUUAAGCUUAAUAACACAGCAGAAAAGUUUAAAACAAUUAGAUUUCAACAAUAAGGGCUAAAAUAGGGUUAAUUGUGGUUGAAACCAAAAACAAAUAAUUAGAGUUUACAAACAACCUCUUGAUAAUAAAAAUUUAAAAAUUGCUAAUAUGUCUACAAAAAACCUUAUUUAUACUAUGUAUGAUAAAUCCUAUUCAAAAACAGAAAAUUAAUCCUAAUUAAUAAAGACUUAGCAGACAAGAAUCCUAAAUAAAGAAACAAACAAAAACUAAAUAAAAAACUAAGUAAAUCCAAAAUUGAAUAGAAAAGUAAAUAAAAUACAAAACUCAAUAGCACUUCAAAUGCUCCAGCCUCAAUCUCCCUGGGUUAGAGAAAAAAUUGACUCCGACAAAUAAGCUUGGAGAUACUCUACAUCAUGCUUUUAAAUAACGGCCAUUACGUAAAGUAACAGCCAUUAUUUAUUGGUUAACAAACAUAACCUCUUAAGAUUGCUUUUAACAACAAUGGUUGUUGCAUCUAAUUCCUCUAUUUCUAUCUAUCAUUCUCUUUUGCAAUAAGAAUCUCAUUCCUCUGUUUCUAUCUUUCUUUCUCUUUUGUGAGCUAUUGUCACUGCAUAUUACAAUUAUCCCAAAAUUACAUUCUCAAAUGUUAAACUCUCCAUAUUCCAAUUACUCUCCCACCACCAUUUCUUGACAAGACAAUGCAUGGUCUUUAAAUUGCCAAUAAUCCCACAUCAUCCUCAUGCAAGUUCAAAGAAAAUUAUUAAGUUCAAGUCAGCUAGAAAGUUUAAAUAACUUACACCACACUGAUCGCCAUUAAUAUUAUUGAAUAUAAUAAUUAAACAAAAAAAAAGCAUAUGCCAAAUAGUAUUCAAGAAUUUAUGGUGACUUACUAUAGCCAAACAUAGUUCCUCGUU